UUAGGGAAGGUACUCAGUGUCUCGUGCUUGUUGUUCUGAAGUGUGAAUUUGGCCCAAGUAAGGACUUCAAGAUUGUCUCGGAAGAGUAUUUAAGCAGAUGCCAGUCAGAUGCAGCAGAGAGCUUGCCAGAAGACCAGAAACCAGAAUGCCAUCCCUUCUGGACAGAUGAUGAUGAAUGUAGUAUGCCUCUGCCAUAUGAUCUAGAAGAAGUAAUUGCUUAUCUACAAAAUCUUGUUCAAUGGAUAGAAUAACAAGUGACCUUCCAGCCCAGAAUUAUUGAUGCUGGUCAUCUUGGGAGAAGCUUUGUCAUUAUCAUAAAUCUUUUCAGCUUUAUGAUUCCUUUAUCAUAUGUUAUUUUAUGUGUCAAUGCAGAUUUUACCAGUCUUUACACAGUAGUUUCAUUACUGUCUCAUAAUAAAAAAGACGAGCCCCCAGA